rnacentral:lncRNA from 1 species
CCAAACUAUUCGUCGGUGGCUGGCGCGGGAGAACAGGAAGUGCCUGCACAGGUGUAACUGGGAGGAUCUGCAAGCCUGCAAUCUGAGCCGGUUUGGAGGUUUUGUUGUUAUCCAGAGGUUUGCUUUAUCCAUGCAGGACCUGAUAAAGGCUUGCAAAAUGUAACCGCAGGUCCUUAUCUGUUCGCAGUUUUCCAUAUCUGGAAAUAUCGCCCCCUCCCCGCCCCCCGCGCGUGAUGUUUUCAAGGCUACUUUUGAGGAUUCUGCUUCUCUUCCUCUUCUCCUUUCAACUUCCAGCCACACCACACUGCUGAAGCAGAGUCUCAUUUGACAGAGGAUGGUAGGCUACCUCGUACUUGAGUUACAUUUGGAGAGCUGCACUGUGUUGCUACAGAACACAGACAAGAGUACCUAAGGGAAACUGAAGCUGUAUGUGAGCCAUCAUCUUAAGAUUAAGAAGACGACUGAGCAGACGAGAUGCCAAGGCAAACUGGGAAGAAUUUCAGGCCAUAGCAAGGUGCCUCUUCUAUUACUUUCUGUGGCUAGGUGCAUCCUCAUGUUAUUUUAUGGGGGUUUCUAUUGCUAUGAAGAGACACUAUGGCCACAGCAACUGUUAUAAAGGAGAACAUUUAAUUCAGGUGGCUUCUAGUUGAGAGGUUUAGUCCAUCAUCAUCAUCAUGGUGGGCAUGGCAGUGUGCAGGCAGACAUGUGCUGCAGGAGGAGCCGAGAGUCCCGCAUCUCAGUCUGCAGGCGACAGGAAGUGGAUCAGCUCUUUACUAGCAAAGCUUGAGCCAGCCCCGCAGUGACACACCUACUCCAGCAAGGCACACCACCUAAUAGUGCCGUGCUCCAUGAGUUUGUG